UACGUAUGGGGCAAGCGUUAUCCGGAUUUACUGGGUGUAAAGGGAGCGUAGGCGGCGGGGCAAGCCUGAUGUGAAAGCCCGGGGCUCAACCCCGGGACUGCAUUGGGAACUGCCCUGCUGGAGUGCCGGAGGGGCAGGCGGAAUUCCUAGUGUAGCGGUGAAAUGCGUAGACAUUAGGAGGAACACCAGUGGCGAAGGCGGCCUGCUGGACGGUGACUGACGCUGAGGCUCGAAAGCGUGGGGAGCAAACAGG
rnacentral:rRNA from 1 species